AGGCCAUGGUGUGGGCAAACUCGUCGGAGUUCUUUAUAGCGAUCCCAUGCCUCAUACAGGGAUUCAUUUUCAUAUUGGGUAAAUGAGGUUAUUUCUUUGAUAAGCCU
rfam:Jatropha curcas cultivar GZQX0401 scaffold640_23, whole genome shotgun sequence.